GCUCCAUUAGGAAGUCCUGUCAUUUACUUAGAGUACAGCAGGGGGCAGAUGAAGUCCAUCUUUCAAAAUCAUGUCUUGCCACCUAGUAUUUCAGAUGUGGCAGUUCAGAAUUGUUGCUUAGUUCAGCUUUUGACGGAAACUAGAAUCUGGUUUUGUAUUUUGUCCAUUGCUUAUCUGACUUCAGUUACUGUGGUGUCAAAUCUGGGGGGAAAAAAAGCCAGGCUUCAGAAGCAUUUUAUCUUUCAGAGUAAGUUUUUUCCUGGAAUAGAUGUGAGGGAAGCUUGCCACGUGUAAAGGACUUCUACUCCAGUGCUUUGAAGAAUGAAGGCUAGUCAAUGGAUUUAAUAUUAAGGUCCUCUUUGUGGUGUGAUUGGCAGUACUGGAAUUCCUGCCCAGAGCAGGCCCAGCUGUGCAGACCCUGGAGGGUGUGUCCAGAGGAGACCCAUCUCUACUGGAGAGAAUGAAGCCACGUGAAAAAAGAAAAGCAUCACAUGGAGUGAUGGAGGAGGGACUCUGAGAACACGACAGGAACACAUUCAUCCAUUUGAAAUCAGAGACCAUCACUGGUAUUAACUGAGCGUUUGUGCAGAACAGGCCCAAGCAGCAGUGGGCACAGACCUUCCUGGUGACACACGGCGAGAGGCUUGGCAUUUCACUGCCAACAGCGUUCUGUUCUCGAAGCAGUCAGUUUCUUGGAAGUUAGUGGAUUCCAAUCAUGGGACAGGAAAAAUACCAGGCUGGCUUUACAGGACAAAAAAAACAACAAAAACAAAAAAAAUCAGCCUUUUGUUGCUGUGGCCUGAUAACAAGGAGCUUUCAAGAAUAUCCGAGCUGUGCUUGAAGGAGUUUCAACUAGCCCAGCUGCCAAAAUGUGAACAUCGAAUGAUGGAAACAAUUAUGGCAAAUUGAGACAAGCACAAGCAGGAGAGACUAAACAAAGGGACCUGUGAGUCAGCCAAGCUGUCCCUGAAAAGG